rnacentral:piRNA from 1 species
AAGAAAACCAGGAAAAUGUUUAAGCU